UACGGGGGGGGCAAGCGUUGUUCGGAAUUACUGGGCGUAAAGGGCUCGUAGGUGGCCAACUAAGUCAGACGUGAAAUCCCUCGGCUUAACCGGGGAACUGCGUCUGAUACUGGAUGGCUUGAGAUUGGGAGAGGGAUGCGGAAUUCCAGGUGUAGCGGUGAAAUGCGUAGAUAUCUGGAGGAACACCGGUGGCGAAGGCGGCAUCCUGGACCAACACUGACACUGAGGAGCGAAAGCGAGGGGAGCAAACGGG
rnacentral:rRNA from 1 species